rnacentral:rRNA from 1 species
GACGAACGCUGGCGGCGUGCUUAACACAUGCAAGUCGAACGAAGAGCGAUGGAAGCUUGCUUCUAUCAAUCUUAGUGGCGAACGGGUGAGUAACGCGUAAUCAACCUGCCCUUCAGAGGGGGACAACAGUUGGAAACGACUGCUAAUACCGCAUACGAUCUGACCUCGGCAUCGAGGAUGGAUGAAAGGUGGCCUCUAUUUAUAAGCUAUCACUGAAGGAGGGGAUUGCGUCUGAUUAGCUAGUUGGAGGGGUAACGGCCCACCAAGGCGAUGAUCAGUAGCCGGUCUGAGAGGAUGAACGGCCACAUUGGGACUGAGACACGGCCCAGACUCCUACGGGAGGCAGCAGUGGGGAAUCUUCCGCAAUGGACGAAAGUCUGACGGAGCAACGCCGCGUGAGUGAUGACGGCCUUCGGGUUGUAAAGCUCUGUUAAUCGGGACGAAAGGCCUUCUUGCGAAUAGUUAGAAGG